UGUGUGGCGGGAAACUGCGGCGAGCCAUGGCAUGGAGACAGCGAGAUUGCGGCAGCUGUGAGCAACAGGAUGGUGGCUCCGACUGCCAGGCGAGCUUGUUCGGCCCCCUCUUGGUGGCUGAGUCGCCGACUGCUGUGGCAUCCGAGGUCUGUGCCUCCUGCUGGAACCCAUGUGAGGAAAGCACCUGCUCACCCAUAAGCUGGCAAGGCCGCUGGGCCCCCAGGGACUCCAGCAAAUUCUGGACAAUAGAGAGCAGGCUGGACAAGACAUCCCAUGCCAGGUCACCCUGGCUUCAGGGUUGCCAGAGGACCAAGCUGGACUCAGCCCAGCGUGUUGGUGCUGUCGCUGCUUCUUGCCGGGGCCUGGCAGUUCGGCUUCCGCAGCCUGCAUGGAGAAGACGUUUGGGAGACCCCCUGGACGCUCCCUGCCUGUGGCCUGGGAAAGCAGUGGAGGA